rnacentral:rRNA from 1 species
UACAGAGGGUGCAAGCGUUAAUCGGAAUUACUGGGCGUAAAGCGAGCGUAGGUGGCUUGAUAAGUCAGAUGUGAAAUCCCCGGGCUUAACCUGGGAACUGCAUCUGAUACUGUUGAGCUAGAGUAGGUGAGAGGGAAGUAGAAUUCCAGGUGUAGCGGUGAAAUGCGUAGAGAUCUGGAGGAAUACCGAUGGCGAAGGCAGCUUCCUGGCAUCAUACUGACACUGAGGCGCGAAAGCGUGGGGAGCAAA